rnacentral:rRNA from 1 species
UGAAUACGUUCUCGGGUCUUGUACUCACCGCCCGUCAUACCACGGGAAUUGGUAAUACCCGAACGUCGCUUUUGGCGGCGGAAGGUAGGACCAGUGACUGGGGUAAAGUCGUAACAAGGCAUCCGUAGCGGAAGCUGUGGAUGGAUCACCUCCUUUCAACGGAA